rnacentral:misc_RNA from 1 species
UUACAACAAAAACCCCCCUUCGAAUAAAGGCAUUUCUCUAAUCUGACAAUCUCAAUCAAUUAAUUAAUGUUGCAUAAAUUACAAGUACACCAACAUUCAUCAUCUUUAAGAUGCCAGUCGGCUUCAGACACAUAUACUCCUUGCUCGUGUUAUGUCCCUAUCUUCAAAACCUUUCAAAAAUGAUCUGAUUCCAAGGUGCUCAGAAGCAUACGUCAUGAAAGAUGCCAAAACAAUGCCUCCAGCAGCCACCAAGCCUAACCUCAAAAAAAGAGCAGUAAUCCCAAAAAUACAUGGCAAAGCUGGGGCAGCAACAGCCAGAAAUGCCAUUCCUAACCCAUAAUACCAAGCAGCAACAUCACAAGAUGAUCCUUGCCGUAGAUGGCCUUUUCCAGAAUCACAAUCAAGAGAUUCAGGAAGUGAGGGAAGAGAUACUUGAGCAGCUGUCAUCUUUCCCCAAAUAUAGGUCAAACGAAGAAAACCUCCAAAUAAAAGGAAGAAGAUCGUGAAUGUCCACUCAUACAUUAAGAGCAA